rnacentral:rRNA from 1 species
UACAGAGGGUGCGAGCGUUAAUCGGAAUUACUGGGCGUAAAGCGUGCGUAGACGGCUAUCUAAGUCGGGUGUGAAAGCCCCGGGCUCAACCUGGGAAUUGCAUUCGAGACUGAAUAGCUAGGGUGCGGUAGAGGGAAGCGGAAUUUCCGGUGUAGCGGUGAAAUGCGUAGAUAAUCGGAAGGAACAUCAGUGGCGAAAAGCGG